AGAAAAGUAAGCUAAUUUAAGCUAAUGGGUUCAUACCCCAUAAAUGGAUGGACAUUCCCUUCUCUA
rnacentral:tRNA from 1 species